rnacentral:hammerhead_ribozyme from 1 species
GUACUGCUGAAGAGUCUCAAAGCAGGACAAAACAGCUGUCCAGUAC